rnacentral:lncRNA from 1 species
UUACACUGGCUUUGCCUCUGCUGGAGUAAUUCCUCUUUGACAUUGAUGUAAUGGGUUCAGAAGCAGGCCUGAAAUGUGUGUGGAAACAUGUUUACCUGCCUAAAAGAGGUGUGUAUGAGGGUAUUUUGAGGAAAGCAGAAGCCUGGAAUUUAGUGCAGGUAAGAAUGUUACUUUCUUUUUGUACAGGAAAAUGCUACCGCCAUUUGGACAACAGUGAAAACUUUAGUUCUGCAAUCAGAGUAUCAAAUAGAGAACAGCGUUUGCUCAUAUGCCUUUUCCUUGGGGGUUUGCCUCCAGAACUUCUGAUGGCAGAGCUUCCCAACAAAUCUGAAUCUAUGUUGAAGAUCAAAAUGAAGAUAUGCAGUUGUACAGGAGAUACUUGUGGGCUACUUGCAUUUUUGUUCAGUCUUGAAUACUGUUCUUUAUCUGUACAGUAACUUACUUUGAAGUACGUGCUCAAAAACAAAUGCUUAUUGUGAUUAAAGAGGAAAUGAUGCUGAAAAUCUCUUUUGUUUAAAAACAAAAACAAAAAAAAACCAACACAACAUGCAGAAAAACAACCAACAAAGCUGUCCAAGGUCCUCUGUUCUUUGGCUGCUAGAGGUCAUUCUUGGCAGGAUGCAGAGGGGCUGUCUUUUAGCUGUAACAGUAUCAGGUCUGGGCUAUUGUGCUAGUAACUACUUAUGCAUCUUCCAUUUGUUUCUAUCCAGUAUUAUGUUACCCAGUUUAUUUUCAGUGUUUUUUUUUUUUUCCCCCCUCUCCCCUUCCUAAACUUCUGUCAAUGUGUUAUGGUAAUGCAGCUCUGCUUUCCACUCAUGAGGUGCCUGCAUUCAUUGGUGGGUGAUACGAAUAAGUAAAACCUGUCUCAGUGCGCAUUCACAAGAGUGCUGAACUGAGAUUACACUGACAUCUGAAAUUCUGGCAGUUUGUAACUCCAAGUGCUUACACUUUGUAAAUCUCAAUCGCGUCCUUAAUGUAGAUUUUGUUUCGUUUCUUGCUAAAGAGUAAAAAAUGUAAAUUUAGAAAAGACUGUCACUCUCCCCCUUGGUCUUUGAGUGAUUUAAGUCAUUCCUUUGUCAACGGAUCUAAUGUGUUUUUACAGUGAUAAUGCCUGGUUAGUUUUCAACAUCUGUGCACUGGACAGAAACAAAUUCCUACUGUAUGUCUUGGGUGCAUCGCAUCUUCCUGUGGCACGGGGACGUGAAUGUAGAACAUGUGGCUUCUUGCAACAAGUACAAAUGAGACCGAUUUGAACCGAGCAUUAUUUGAAAGCUGUGAUGAAAGAAAAUAGCAUCAGGCACAGGUUUCUUUGAUUGUAUUGAAACUGUCCUCUUACUUGAAGAAACUGGAAGCAGAGUUGGUCUGCGGUGCCAUAACUGGCUCAGGUGCUGCUGACUUUGGGAGGAGGUCAGAUCCAGGUGACGGCGGUGUGACUCA